CAGGAAUGAUACUCAAUCUGCUAGGCCAGCAAUGGGAACACUAACAUUUAAGACAUUUCUCCUGAUCUCUGAAAACUUGCAACCUAGCAGAGGAUAUAAAAAAAAUAAUAAAAAAGAAGUAUGCAAAGAGCUUUCUACAAAGCAGCACUUUGUGAAUAGUGUGGAACAAAAGUUACUGGAGUAUAAAGAAGAAGGGUGGUACUUCUGGAAUGUUUCAUGGAGGAGGUGAUGCUUUCAUGUGGCCUUGAGGAGAGAAGAUUGGUUUAUGAUGGGGUUCAUAGAGGUUCCAUCCUGGUUCUCAGUCCACAUGGAAGAAUAUCCAUGAGAGGGUAUGCAGUCUUCUGACAUCCCACAGAGCACAGCUGCACCAAAACAAGGAAGAUUCUACCUCUGAAGUAAAUUAUAUCAUUGAAAGACCAAGCUACCCUCUGAAGAAAUACUCACUGCAUGAACAGAGAUAUUUUUAAGGUACUGUCUUAUGGGAAAUUAAUGAAAGCUUAAGGAGAAUCAUGAAGAGCUCACUCACUGAGACAAUUGAAGCAUCCUUAAAGAAAUGAACACUUUUUGUUGUCUGUGUUGAGUCACUGAUGUCUAAUCCCCUUUAAACCAAACCCUGUACUCAGUCUUUUGUGCCCAGGUAAGAGUUGUUGAUUAAAGUGUUUGCUGUUUGGGGGCUAACAUUUUCUUGUCAAGCUGGAAAAUUUGUGUUUUUGCAUGUUUGUUUUGAACAUGAAAGAGAAAGCGCUGUAGUUGGGUGGCAGGUGCUUAUCUGAACACUUCCCCUCUCUCUCUCUCU
rnacentral:lncRNA from 10 species